AUGGAAGAAUAUCACAAGAUUCAUCUUAGUCUCAUUAUGUUAGGCUAUUCCAUUCCCUACUCACUCCACUGGAGGAAGGAAUGGCCCCACAUUGAGUACCCCAAAGGCAUCUGGUACUUUGGGAUCAGCUCUCCUGUUCCCAGCUUGACCUACAGAGGUUCUCCUGUGAUUCUCCCCAAGAAUUACAAGGCUAUGACCCUGGACUGUUUGAAACUCGAAGUGACAAAGAGGAAAAGAAAAAAAAAAUAAAAAGAAAAAGAAAAAAGAAGAAAAAAAAAUAGGAUGUACCAACAGAGAAGUAGAGAGGAAGAUUUCAAAUGCAGAAGAAAAUGGGAAGAAGUUGUAUGAUUGAUUUUCUGUGUAAAUAAUUUUCUAGAUUCCUUUUUUCACCUCAUUAAAAAAGACAAAUUUCUCCCUCUAAUCCAACACCAGCCCACUCAGAGGCUAAAUUACGCAUAGGCUCUAUGUGUUAUGCUGACUGACGUGAGCAUCUUUCACUGCUGGGUGCUAUGGGACAGCAGGUGAGAUGUUCCUAAAAUUCACAGAGGCUCAGGUUCCUUUCACACCACUGAAAAACUCCCAGGAUGCUACUAGUGUCAUGCUAGUCUAAAUCUGGCAUACAAAGCCCUGUUAUUAACUCACUGAAAAUGUAUCUUUUGAUUUAUUUGGGAUUUGGUUCAGGCAACAGUGAUCUUAUAAUCCAGAUAACUCCUUGAAGAUCCAUGAAUUCAGUAGUGCUAUAGAUACAGAAAAUAACUAUUUACUACUUAUAAAAACAAAACAAAACAAAACAAACUGAUUAGUAGCUGCUCCUUUGUGCUCCAUUAAGAGACACAUUAAUAUCAAUUUAAACUGUUUGUAAUAGAAGUUGCCAAACAAAAAAUGUGUGAAAUCUGUCUUUAAAGUAGCUUCAUAGCAAAUUGAUUACAUCUAGAAGACAGAACAAAGUAUAAAUUUUUCUUCUGUGUACAAAUUAUAGUCUAAUUCUGAAAACAGAAUAGUAGAGAGAACAUUCUUUGACCACAACAAAAGUUUUGGAAAGGGAUAUCUAUUUUGCAUAAAAACUAUUUCAAUCAAAGUCAACUCUCAGGCACUUCCAUGUAGCCUUGGCUUUGAUAAGUUCUUAAUUUACAAUUUUAGGAUUAUUGUUAUAUGCAACCUGUUAAUAAUGACAUAGUCCAGUUGGAAAGAGACAGAAAAUCAGCAGGAAUUGUCAUGGGUCUAGAAAUGAUAACCUAUAAGGAAAGAUUGAGAGGAAAUAUUGUCUAGAUAAGGGAAAAGUGAGAGGAAAUAUGGAAACAAAAAUAUGCAAGAGGAUGCUCUAAAGAUACAGGGUAUUAGCUUUCUUCCAUAUCCAUGAGAUUAAGACAAGAAGCAUUGGGUUUAAAGCACAAUACCAGUGAAUCAGGUAAGACAUUAAGAAAAGUCUUCUAAUGGUAGAACUCAUAAAUCACUGACGUGGAUAUGGAAUCUCCAUCAUCAGAUGAUUUUAAAAACAGUAAGGACAAAUUUGUCUCAGAAAUGGCGUAAUUGCGGUUAAUGUCACCAGGACAAGAGCACGAAGGAUUUGUCCUCUUGAUAUUCCUUAAAAUUCUUUCCACUCUGAUUUUGAGUUCAGCCUUUUCUAUUUUAACAUUUGGAUUUUUUUUUUUUGAUAGAAAAUCAGAUUUUUUUACAUUUUUCCCCUUUAUGCAUUUUGUUUGACAUAGAAGAAAAUAAAAAGCAGUUUGCCUACUGAAAGAUGAAUUAU
ensembl:lncRNA